rnacentral:misc_RNA from 1 species
GAUGAAGAACGUAGCGAAAUGCGAUAAGUAAUGUGAAUUGCAGAAUUCAGUGAAUCAUCGAAUCUUUGAACGCACAUUGCGCCCUUUGGUAUUCCAAAGGGCAUGCCUGUUCGAGCGUCAUUUGUACCCUCAAGCUUUGCUUGGUGUUGGGCGUCUUGUCUCUAGCUUUGCUGGAGACUCGCCUUAAAGUAAUUGGCAGCCGGCCUACUGGUUUCGGAGCGCAGCACAAGUCGCACUCUCUAUCAGCAAAGGUCUAGCAUCCAUUAAGCCUUUUUUCAACUUUUGACCUCGGAUCAGGUAGGGAUACCCGCUGAACUUAAGCAUAUCAAUAAGCGGAGGA